rnacentral:rRNA from 1 species
GACGAACGCUGGCGGCGUGCUUAACACAUGCAAGUCGAACGGAAAGGCCCUGCUUUUGUGGGGUGCUCGAGUGGCGAACGGGUGAGUAACACGUGAGUAACCUGCCCUUGACUUUGGGAUAACUUCAGGAAACUGGGGCUAAUACCGGAUAGGAGCUCCUGCUGCAUGGUGGGGGUUGGAAAGUUUCGGCGGUUGGGGAUGGACUCGCGGCUUAUCAGCUUGUUGGUGGGGUAGUGGCUUACCAAGGCUUUGACGGGUAGCCGGCCUGAGAGGGUGACCGGACAGCAGGGGACUAUGCUACGCCCGAGACUGCUACGGGAGGCAGCAGUGGGGAAUACGGCACAACGGGCCGACGCCUGAUGCAGCACCGCAGCGUUGGCGAUGCCGGCGUGAGGGUAGUAAAACGCGUUCGCCGGUGACGAAGCGUGAGUGACGGUACGGGAUAAAGAAGCACGGGCUAACUACGUG